rnacentral:tRNA from 1 species
GAUGCGAUGGCCGAGCGGUCUAAGGCGCUGGAAUUAGGCUCCAGUCUAUUUAUAGGCAGGGGUUCGAAUCCCUUUCGCAUUA